CAGCUUGCUGGGUGGAUCAGUGGCGAACGGGUGAGUAACACGUGAGCAACCUGCCCCGGACUCUGGGAUAAGCGCUGGAAACGGCGUCUAAUACUGGAUACGAGACGCAACCGCAUGGUUAGUGUCUGGAAAGAUUUUUCGGUCUGGGAUGGGCUCGCGGCCUAUCAGCUUGUUGGUGAGGUAAUGGCUCACCAAGGCGUCGACGGGUAGCCGGCCUGAGAGGGUGACCGGCCACACUGGGACUGAGACACGGCCCAGACUCCUACGGGAGGCAGCAGUGGGGAAUAUUGCACAAUGGGCGGAAGCCUGAUGCAGCAACGCCGCGUGAGGGAUGACGGCCUUCGGGUUGUAAACCUCUUUUAGCAAGGAAGAAGCGAAAGUGACGGUACUUGCAGAAAAAGCGCCGGCUAACUACGUGCCAGCAGCCGCGGUAAUACGUAGGGCGCAAGCGUUAUCCGGAAUUAUUGGGCGUAAAGAGCUCGUAGGCGGUCUGUCGCGUCUGCUGUGAAAACCCGAGGCUCAACCUCGGGCCUGCAGUGGGUACGGGCAGACUAGAGUGCGGUAGGGGAGAUUGGAAUUCCUGGUGUAGCGGUGGAAUGCGCAGAUAUCAGGAGGAACACCGAUGGCGAAGGCAGAUCUCUGGGCCGUAACUGACGCUGAGGAGCGAAAGGGUGGGGAGCAAACAGGCUUAGAUACCCUGGUAGUCCACCCCGUAAACGUUGGGAACUAGUUGUGGGGUC
rnacentral:rRNA from 1 species